CCGCGCGCUGGAGGUGAAGCAGCUGCCAUGACUGCAGUCUGACUGAGAAACGCAGUGCUGUCCCGCCAACCCCGCGCAGUGGGCAAACGCCGAGAAGCUAAACCGCCAAAAACCGCGCCCCCCCCCACCGAGGCUGCCACCCGAGAAUAGCCCACAGUCCGGCGCGUCUGUCUGUCUGACAGGGGUCAAAUCUGAAAUCCUCCAGGAAAGGCAGCUAUCGGUAUGCUUGGGCUGAGAAAUACCCACAAUGCACCACGGCUGGCUUCAAACCCCCCGCCCCCAACUCCCCCACUCCCCACCCCCCCCCCGUUCCUAACCCUCCCAUAUCGCACCACUUGCCCUCAUUUGUGUUUCACAGAUUCGAGUCAGAAGUCAGUUUGCUGCAUACCAAGUGUUUCUGCAGCUUCUGUCUCUCACUCCGCUCGUACGCACACAGCUCCUGCAGUCUGCACACACGCACAGGAUCGCCCGGCAGCACAAAGACCUUCUCACUUAUUCAACUGAUUUGUUUUGCCAGAAUAACCCCUGUCACCCCCUUAAACCCCGCCCCCUGAAAAAAAAAAAAACCUUUUUCUGCUGCUAUCCACUCUACAGAGACUAACAUUUGGCUUUUUCCUUUUGCGGCAGAUUACUGUAACGCUAUUGUAAAACAACUUCCUGCCUCUCCUGGCUGUAGCUGCACUUAUCCACCAAGACAGCCGCCCCCCCUCCCCCCCCCUCCCCUCCCCUCCACCGCAGCAACAGGAGUACAAAACGGAAAACUCUUUAUCUGAAACUCUUAUCGUGGAAUAUGUUAAGAAAGCCUAAUCUAUCCAUCUGUCCCACCUAACAAGCUGAGAGAGAGGAGAGAGAGAGGGAGAGAAAGAACGAGAGAGAGACGUGGGGCACUGCAUGCAAUAACAAGGGCUUCUGCUGGGAAGCGGUGAACAGGAGGCUGGCUGGAGGAGCGGACUUACCCCCGUCCAAAUAACUUCGGCCCAGUGCAGGCAGUGACGAAGAGCCCAGAUGCACCCGAGCCCAGGCAGACGCAUCGUUCUCCUCCUGCGAACACACCAAAAGCCUUAGCAAAACACAGAGACCUGUCUGGCAAGAUAACGGCUCUUACUUCUUAAAAUAAAAAAAAUAAAAA